rnacentral:lncRNA from 1 species
GGGAGGCCCUGGCAGGAGGGAGGAGAGGAAAAAACCAAGGCAUUCUCCUUCUGCUUCAGGCAGCAUCUCUGCAGUCGCUACUCUUCUCCAUGCUUCCAGCUUCCACUGGAUGCUCCUUCCAUCUCGGUCCUGGGUCCUGUUGGACAGGCGUGGCUCUGCUCCCAGUUUCCAUCAGUAGCUUCAGAUACUGGGCACUGAUAAUUCUACCUCUUCCUGAGGCUCUGCCAACCGAAAGACUGGAAUGUCUUUUUGCUGUUGUUAAUGCCUGGGUGCUGCUAGCUAGGAUCCUCUGUCACCUGCGUGACCUCCUGCCUGUGUUCACGUCCCUCUGUUCACACGGCAUAGAGGGGUUCUCUUUGCAGCUGGUUAGUGACUGUUGUGCAGCUCUGCAGCUGGGCCACAGGGAGGGAGUGGGUGGUGGAGCCAGGCCCUCAGGCUGCCUGGGAGCUCUGCCCCUCAGGCUGCCCAGCCCUCAGAGAAGACUGGGAUUGGCACCAGGUCUGCUGCCCCUUCCCUGCGUCAGGGGACAGUCCAGCCCUCCCUGCCCGGAGCCCACGGAAGUAUCUUCAGCUGUAGGCAGCAGCUGAGUGGGUGGCACUCCAGGGUCAGUGGCUGUGGGGAUCUGCCAAGCUGCCCUUGUUUUGGCCAGCUGAAGCUGUGCCUGGGGGCUGAAGCAGAGAAGACGGACACAGACGAGACCCAAGGCCACCUUAUAUGAGAACAGGGCUGGGCUGUGGGCAGGAGGAGGGAGUCACCUCCUUCCAGCCAGAGUUAGGCCUUGCCUCGGAAGGGGCACGGAGGGCCUUGCCAGGGUGACAGGAAGUGGAGGUGGGGCUUCUGGCCUGGGAGGAGCCUGCUGUCUCCAUGUUGGGGUCUCAGUGAUUUUGCACACACUGGCAGAGCCUCUGACCCCGGGGAAGGCCUGGCGCUAAUAGCAGUCACUGCAGCUCCUCUUCCCUUCUCAGAGGCCUGUGUGCCGGCCACGUGAGGGAAUCGCUUUACAUGAUUAAUCCGAGCUGGCACAUAGGACGCUCUCGAGGGCUGCAAGCUAAAAAAACCCCAAACCCCACAAAUCUCAACAGCAGCCAACCACUGUGGACCUUACUCAGUAGGCAUUUAAUGGGACAAGCUGGUGUCUCGUUGGAAGUGAGCCACAGGCCUCUCCCCUGGCUAGGGCUGGCAGAGGGUCUGGUCGGGGGAAGGGGCUGGGAGGUGGGACGUGGGGGCAGGAGGCACCUGAGGACAGGUACUGCCUAGUGUCCAGGCAGGAUAGAGACCAAGGCCAGGUCAGAGGGUGGGCAGUAGGUCCCAGGCUUUGGGUUGAGGUUCAAGCACUAGGCCCUGGGGACUGGGGGAGCAAGACCGCUGAAGAUACGGAGAUGCUGGCAGGAGGCAGGAUUGAGAACUGGGCGCAAGGGACUUCAUUGUGAGCCCGGGGGCUGGACCAGAGCUGCUUGGAGCCCUCCCGUCUGAGGACAGGAUUGAACCUAGCGAGCAAGGAGGCUGGACAUGGGAGGGCGUCUGGGGUGAAGGGGCCGGGGGUCAGGAGCCCGGGUUGCAAAGGGAAAUCGUUGCGGUUCGGACCCUGGCGCCCCGCUCACCAGCCGCGUGGCCUCGGCGGACACGGGACUUUCUCUCCUUUGGGCGGAACCAGGAACCAGCCCUGCCUCACAGGCUGCGCUGCAUCCAGACGGGGUCAGGCGGGGAAGCCCUCGGCUCUGUGUCUGGGACGCACGAGCUCUGCUGGCGUGAUUGAUCCGCGGGGACAGCCAGCCGGGCGGCGUCUACCGUCCAGAGUGUCCCUCCCGGGCUCUGCCGGCUGGGACCCCCGGGCCGAGGCCCCUCUGGGCGGACGCUCCCCGCACUGUCAGCCUCUGCUUUAGCGUCUGUGUUCUGGACACUUCACUCCCUGCGUGAGCUCUUUCCAGACUGAAAACAGGUGGCUGUCUCAAGAGGCCAGAGGUCACCCCUGGAGCCGUUGUCAGAUGCUGGCUUCCUUCUCGAAAGCUCCCUCAGGCCUGGGCGGGGCGAUGGGCCUCUGGGAGGCUACCUUCACCCACCCUUUGCGUUUUUCCUUCUCAAAUUCUGUUUCACCCUUCCCUCCUCACCAAAAGCAGAGGCAGAAUGGCAAACCCAAAACGAAAAGACAAACACAACGACACACACGCACGCAACUAGAAGAACCUCAGCCUCUAUUUGUUUCCACCCCGCCGGCCACGUCCCGGGCCAGAGAUGACAGGGUAUUACAAUGUGCGUGUCCUUUAGAUAAGGCUGAAUGUGAAAUUGGAAUUAUAUCACUUCUUCCCCCAAGAGCCUGUCCUGCGUCCUCAGCCUCCUGGAAGGACAGCACCACCAAAUACCUCAUCUGCCACCGUGAGCCCAGAGAGGGCCUUCGGCAGCCUCCCUCCGGUGACGCUGUCACGCUGUGCUCGGCUCCUCGCGCCCGAGCCUGGGGUUCACCCCGCGCCCCCAGCCCUCCCGCGAGGCCUGUCAGCGCCGCCUCCAGAAGCGUCCCCAGAGCAGCCCCGGUCCCGUCUCCGCCACCUCCGUCCAGAAGCAGCCUCGUCUGUCCCCUGGGCUCCCGCAGGAGCGCCUGGCCUUCCCCUUCGCCCGCGCUCCGUGCAGCAGUCAAGGCGACGCUUCGGCCUAACGCUGAACGCACCCUAAGUGCGCCCCCAGAUCCGGCCGCCGGGAUGGCCCCGCCCCCGCCCCGCCCCGUCCCUGCAGUGAGGCCAGUGCUCCUCCUCCCUCCACUGCUCAGUUAGCCGCGCUCCGUCCUCACCCGGGACCCUGCCCCGGCCCUUCCCUCCCCGGCACACCCUCUCCCCACAUGUGCCCACGGCCGGCUUCUUGCCACACGGGUCGGCUCCUCAGCGACGCCUUCGCGACCACUCCCUCUGGGUGGCCUCUGGCCCCCGACACGCUCGGUGCCUCACCCGGUCUUCCUGUCAGUACAGAGGGGCCACUGCCUCUUCUUUUCUUGUUUAUCUACUCGUCUGAUGCCUUCAUUUAGAAAGUAAGUUCCUCGGAGUUCCCCGUGGUGCAGGGGGUUAAGGACCUGGCGUUGUCACUGCUGCGGCUGAGGUGGCCGCUGUGACACAGGUUCCAUCCCUGGCCCAGGCGUUUCCACAUGCCACGGGCAUGGCCACAGAGAGGUAAGUUUCUCCCAGGGAAGGGCUCCAUCAUCGUAUUCACUUCCAGAUCCUGAUAAUCCUUAGUGGGUCCCAAAUGGGCGAUGCCUACUCCGCCGAAACAUUGGUCAUGGUUGAUCUGAAAUUCAAGUUUAGCCAGGCGCCCCGUAUUCUAACUGACAGUCCUACCCGAGGCCCAUGGUACCACAUCUCGGGGACAUGGUGCCAAGAGCGGAAGCCAGACUGAAGAGAAGAGAGCAAAUGAUGUGGGCGAGAGAGGGGGCGGGAGAGGCAGGGUAACAGAGGCCCCGGUGGCCCAGUGUUCGCCCUCUGACGGUGUCGGGAAGUCCCACAGCUCGGUGGCCCAAGGUCGGUGCCACCCCUGUGCUUUCUGUACUUUAUUUCCAGGCAUCAAUAAAGUCCCCUUUCACUUCGAAAUAACAGCCGACGUUCUUGAGCACGUAUGUGUGCCAGGCACUGGGCCGAGCGCUUGGAUGCACUGUCUCGCUGAGGCUGUCACCUCAGUGUCACCUCACACAGCUCGCUGAGGGUGUUGCUGUGUGGCGUCUACAGAGGAAGCGCUGAGGGACAGAGACCCUAAAUAACGUCCUCAAGGUCACGCAGACUUGAAGCGGCAGAGCCGGGCUCCACAGCCAGGCCGUCCGAUGCCAGCGUGUGGGACCACUGCGAGGAGAAGCCGUCCCUCGUCCCCCGGGAGGUCCCAGGUGGCUUGGGUCGAGCAGACACCGACUGCUGACCCUCGCGUGGCAGGCGGCCUCACGUGUGGGCUCAGGAACCAGACGAGCCAGGCUCAGAGCCACCUCCCUCACCCCUGGGCUUUUCUCUGAUGCCCAGCACAGGCCCUGGCACGAAGGAAGUGCUCCUGAUUCCUGCAAAAAUGAAAGUAAGAAGAGCGAAUAUUAGUAAGAAGCCUGGCAGCUGAUUAUGCAGCACCUUCUACGUGCUAAGCACCCUCUCGGCCCAUCCCCACGACAGCCCUGCCAAGUCGGUGACUUACAGUCGAGGAGACGGAGGCUUCAAGGCAUCGAGUGACCACAGAGGCCACAGAGAGAGGCCUGGAGGCUCCGACGUGCUCCUCACGGUGCCCGUGCCUUUGCCCGCGCUGUGAGCCGUUAGGCGGGCGUAGGGUCCCGUUUUAUGAAGGAGGCACAGCGAGGUACAGCUCCUGCUGGAGGUCACGUCGGUGCUAAGAGCAGAGCAGGUCUGAACCCAGCUUCCUCUGCCUCCCAGUCGAGUCUUUGUCCCCUGUACUCGAGCGCUGCCCUCCGGAGAACCCCCCAAAGCACGGCAUCCCUCAGCUCUCCCUGCGACACCCGCUGACCCCUCCCCGCUGCGCGGAUCCCGGGCUGGGGCUCUGCCUGCGUCCCUGCGUCCACUGCCUCCCGCCUUCGUCGUGUCCUUCGCGGGCCACCACCAGGGUCAGCUUUCAGAAAUACGCCUCCGAGUCCAGGGCCCUUGCUGGUCCUUCCGGGGUCCUUGACCGGAGCGCCGUGGUCUGGCCCGUUUUCCCUUCUGCUCCUUGAGCUCUGCGCUCGGGCUGGGCGGGAUGUGCCUUGUUCUCUCUGCCCUUCCGCUCGCCCUCCUCUCCUUUGCCAAGUCGCCCUUCAGGGCUCAGGGACGUGUCUCUUCCUCCCGGAAGCCUUCCUUCCUGGGUCCCAGUCCUCUUCCUGUGUGUGCCUCUGCUCGGGUUCUUCGUCCUCUCUGUUGGAACCGCCUUUUUACAGAAGGAUCUGUCCCUUGUUCCCGGAAGGCAGGGGCUGCGUCCGCCUGUUCUCCCUGCAUCCCCCGAGCCCGGCGUGUUGGGUGCCGGGUGCCGGGUGGAGGCGCUGGGGGGAAAGCUGGCGAAUGAAGGAGGUUCCCGAAGACGUGAUGUUUUCUUGCCCCGAGCACCAGGCUCAGGUGGCUGGCACACAGUAGGCUCUCCGUGCAUAUUUGUUCAGUGGAGGGUGGGUGAGUAUGCGCACUAAUAAACGUCACGGUUCAGGAGUUCCCGUCGUGGCGCAGCAGUUAACGAAUCCAACUAGGAACCAUGAGGUUGCGGGUUCGGUCCCUGGCCUCGCUCAGUGGGUUAAGGACCCAGCGUUGCCGUGAGCUGUGGUGUAGGUUGCAGACGCGGCUCAGAUCCUGCGUUGCUGUGGCUCUGGCGUAGGCUGGUGGCUACAGCUCCGAUUCGACCCCUAGCCUGAGAAGCUCCAUAUGCCGCGGGAGCAGCCCUAGAAAAGACAAAAAGACAAAAAGACAAAAAAAAAAAAAAAA